rnacentral:rRNA from 1 species
GACGAACGCUGGCGGCGUGCUUAACACAUGCAAGUCGAACGGAAAGGCCCUGCUUUUGUGGGGUGCUCGAUUGCGGAAGGGGGGAGAAAAACGGGAGUAACCUGCCCUUGUCUUUGGGAUAACUCCAGGAAACUGGGGCUAAUACCGGAUAGGAGCUCUUGCUGCAUGUGGGGGGUUGGAAAGUUUCGGCGGUGGGGGAUGGACUCGCGGCUUACCAGCUGGUUGGUGUGGUAGUGGCUUACAAAGGCUUUGACGGGUAGCCGGCCUGAGAGGGUGACCGGCCACAUUGGGACUGAGAUACGGACCAGACUCCUACGGGAGGCAGCAGUGGGGAAUAUUGCACAAUGGGCGGAAGCCUGAUGCAGCAACGCCGCGUGCGGGAUGACGGCCUUCGGGUUGUAAACAGCUUUCGCCUGUGACGAAGCGUGAGUGACGGUAAUGGGUAAAGAAGCACCGGCUAACUACGUG